UACGGAGGGAGCUAGCGUUGUUCGGAAUUACUGGGCGUAAAGCGCACGUAGGCGGUCUUUUAAGUCGGGGGUGAAAUCCUGGAGCUCAACUCCAGAACUGCCUUCGAUACUGGAAGACUUGAGUCCGGGAGAGGUGAGUGGAACUGCGAGUGUAGAGGUGAAAUUCGUAGAUAUUCGCAAGAACACCAGUGGCGAAGGCGGCCAACUGGUCCGGUACUGACGCUGAGGUGCGAAAGCGUGGGGAGCAAACAGG
rnacentral:rRNA from 1 species